rnacentral:rRNA from 1 species
UACGUAGGGCGCAAGCGUUGUCCGGAAUUAUUGGGCGUAAAGAGCUCGUAGGCGGUCUGUUACGUCCGCUGUGAAAACCCAGGGCUUAACCCUGGGCUUGCAGUGGAUACGGGUAGACUAGAGGCAGGUAGGGGAGAAUGGAAUUCCCGGUGUAGCGGUGAAAUGCGCAGAUAUCGGGAGGAACACCGGUGGCGAAGGCGGUUCUCUGGGCAUGUCCUGACGCUGAGGAGCGAAAGUGUGGGGAGCGAACAGG